rnacentral:rRNA from 1 species
AGAUGGCGACCGGCGCACGGGUGAGUAACACGUAUCCAACCUGCCGAUAACUCGGGGAUAGCCUUUCGAAAGAAAGAUUAAUACCCGAUGGCAUAAUAGAACCGCAUGGUUUGAUUAUUAAAGAAUUUCGGUUAUCGAUGGGGAUGCGUUCCAUUAGGCAGUUGGUGGGGUAACGGCCCACCAAACCUUCGAUGGAUAGGGGUUCUGAGAGGAAGGUCCCCCACACCGGAACUGAGACACGGUCCAG